GUUUGUGGCUCUCUGGUGGAAAGGGGAGAACCCUGACUUUGGUGGGCAGGCUUUGUGUUGACAGGGGUCCGAGCGUCGAAGGCCUCCUCCUCUCCUUUUCUUGUUCUCGCUUCGUUUCAUGGGGCUCCGUUUUUUUUUUUUUUUUUUUUUUUUUUUAGGUGCUGUGGCUAGAGCCGCUGGGUGUUUUUUCCUCCGGCGUUCUGUUGCUGGUUUCUUGGCUCCUUCCUUCCCGCAGUGGCCCUCUUGUCUCUUGCUUUUUGUGUUCGCUCUUGCAUCGGGAGAGCUCCUGGUUUUUUCUUUGUUGUGCUGGUGGUGUUGUUGAUUGUUGCGGCGGGGUUGACUUCUUCUGCUGUCUCCCGUGUGGCGGAUCUAAGAAGUGGCGGUUGUCGACGAAUCGAUUAGGCUCUGUGUUCUAAAGCUCUGAUUCCUGGAGUGUCGCGGCUGGAGCUGGUGCUUCCUUGCGUAUCAUUCCUUACGGUGCAGUUGGAGUUGCCGCACCUGAUUUCCGCGCUUAGACUUCAGUAGAGCAUUCGCCUAGUCGGUAGGAAUUAGAAGCUCUGAAAAUUUUGGAGUAUGCGGCUGGAAUUGCUGCUCAUCCUCGAGGUCAGUGCAGCGGCGUGUGGCGGGGAUUGCUUGUUCCAUUCCCCUUGUUGUUGUUCUCAAUUGCUGAGUGUUGCGGCAGUAGGCAGUACUCUUUGGUGGUAUGGACCUAGUCAUGGUCGUGGUUCGAGUUCAUCAAGUGGUUACGCUGGAUUUUUGUUCAAAAUUCACGUCUAAGUCUCCCUCCUCGUCAAUUGCAAUCUGCAAAGAAUGUUGCCUGUAAGGUUCAUUUUCUUCCUUCUCUUCUAUAGAAGUGGCUGGAGCUGCUAACCUUCAAUAGCUCUGGACUCUUUUAUUCUACGUGGGUGCGGCGGUACCGUCGGCACCAGUCAUGUGAGUUGCGUUGGGCAACAAAAUCCGACUAUCGGUUCUGCGCGGCAUUAUGAAAUUGUGGAGCGUUCGAUUUUUUGAGUUUGUGGUGGAGAGCGUUUGAUGAACUGGAGUGAAGCGGCAUGCUAGCCUAUCAGUGGCUGUAUGUCUCUGCAGUACUUGGAAGAUCCUUGGAUGUGGUGGAUUUGAUUCAGUACGCAAAAUUGGCUCUUUAGUCGCUUGAUCCAGCUGUUGUACAAAUCGGGCAUAGGCGGCAAGUGAGUAGUUGCUUCAAAGAGGGGUCAGUGGAUACAAGAUUGCGGACGAUCGAAGAGGCUGCCGCAAAUUAGCACAAUUGGGAUGCGACAAGAAUGCGAUAUUAGUGACAAAGGUGGAAUCCUACAGUAGGAGAAGCUGGGAAUCCAUCACCAGACGGUACGGCGGUUCCGGUUGUGUUCUUCCGCCCUCUCUCUGUUAUUCCAAGGCGCUGAUUUCUCGUGUAUGCAUUGGUGAGCGGAAGGGUUGUCCCAGUGCGGUUUCUUUUUUCCUUGCCCAGCUAUUGUUUUGAUUGCGGUGUCGCCAACCACUGAUGGCCCGGUGUGUUCUCUUCACGUUGAUGUUCGGAAGGUACCUUGAAGAGGCGCUGGUGUAGUUUUCCCGUCCGAACUCUUUGUUUUCUUUUUCCCCCUCUGAUCGGUUAUUACAGACCAUGUUCUUUUCCUUAUUGUGUUUUUUUCCUUUCUAUUGAUCUGUGCUCUUGCUGUUCACUCGCUGCCGAGCUUGUGGCUAAUCCCUUGUUUUCCGCUGAGUGCCUGGUUUUGUGCGUGUUCGGGUGCUUCUACGAACUACUGGUAUUAUUAAUCCUUGUUUGUCUCAGUUUUGGAAGUGCUGAUCAUUCCGCCGUUGUGGAGGUUGGGGGCAAUUGAAUUUUGGGUUCUGAUCCUCGCCGUUCUUAAUCUACCGCAACGUCGCUUCCAAGCUGCGGUGCAAGGGCUCUCUUGGUUUGUUUUCUCUGGUGACGCUGUGUAGAAGCGGAGAUCUGGAGCGUCAACCUUUGGUUCAGUAUGCUGCUCGAUGAUGUGCAGUGGUAUUGCUUUAAUUUGCACUCGGAGCGGCUGGUAGAUGUUGUACUGCUAUGGAGGAUUUCCAGCUUGACAUUCAGCUUAUUUCCUCGCAUCUAGCUGUUGCGGCGCAGAUGUUUUUGUUGCGCAAUCGUCAAGGAUUGAAAACUAGAAUUUGGGGUGGCGGAGGUCAUCGGGGUGGGGGAAGCUCUUGUUGCCAAUCACUCCUUAUUAUUCCUUCUUCUUGAUCAGAAUUCCGUCGAGGCUGUGCGGUGGUCGGUUGCUCUCCAACAAGUGCUACCCUGGUCCAUUUUUUUCUUCAUUCUUGACUCGGUCUGUAGUGGUCUCCAUACCAUACUUAUUAUAAUGGUUUUUAGUGUUUUAUUGGAUUAAUUUAGAGAAGUUAAAGAACUAUUUAACAAUACUUAAGUAAUAAUUACAAAUAAUAGAAUACAUAAGAUAAUUUAAUUGUUAUGAAUUAAAAUAAAUCCCUACUAUUUGGUAGUUUAUUCUAAUUGAAUUAUGGAGAUACUAUUCUUAUAUAGAUUAAAGAAAUCAUACUCAAAUUAAAUAUCUAUGCCAAGAAGUUGUGCAGUUGAGAGAAGUAAGUAGAUCAACUUCAUACUUGAAUCGAAGAAGACUUGCCACUACAAGUAAGAAGGAGGCAAGGAUCAAUAUGUCGAAGAAGUUUGAUAGAAUAAGAUCAAAAUUUUGAUAGUUUUUACAACAAUUCAAGAUCUAUUUAAGAUUGCAUCUUUUUUGAUAUCUUAAUGUAUUUAUUCAAGUUUGAUUAAUAGAUGCACUUCUAUAGAGGAGUGAUAUCUUUUGAUGUG